rnacentral:rRNA from 1 species
CCUACGGGUGGCAGCAGUGAGGAAUAUUGGUCAAUGGCCUGAAGGCUGAACCAGCCAUGCCGCGUGAAGGUCAGUGCCCUAUGGGCGUUAAACUUCUUUUGUGCGGGAGCAAUAAUGGUCACGUGUGGCCCGACGAGAGUACCGUACGAAUAAGCAUCGGCUAACUCCGUGCCAGCAGCCGCGGUAAUACGGGGGGUGCAAGCGUUAUCCGGAUUUAUUGGGUUUAAAGGGUGCGUAGGCUGGGAGGUAAGUCAGCGGUGAAAUGCCCCCGCGCAACGGGGUGAAGUGCCAUUGAUACUGCCUGGCUGGAAUGCGGGUGCCGUGGGAGGAAUGUGUGGUGUAGCGGUGAAAUGCAUAGAUAUCACACAGAACACCGAUUGCGAAGGCAUCUCACGAAGCCGCGAUUGACGCUGAUGCACGAAAGCGUGUGUAUCAAACAGGAUUAGAUACCCCUGUAGUC